GUGCUUCCCUGGGCGGAAGCUUCAGAGCGCAAUAUAGCGGAAGUGCUUUCUUUUCCGGCCUCUUUGGUCUCGGCGGCAGAAGCAAGAUGACGAAGGGAACGUCAUCGUUUGGAAAGCGUCGGAAUAAGACGCACACGCUGUGCCGCCGCUGUGGCUCUAAGGCCUACCACCUUCAGAAGUCGACCUGUGGCAAGUGUGGUUACCCUGCCAAGCGAAA